rnacentral:rRNA from 1 species
CCUACGGGGGGCUGCAGUGGGGAAUAUUGGACAAUGGGCGGAAGCCUGAUCCAGCAAUACCGCGUGUGUGAAGAAGGCCUGAGGGUUGUAAAGCACUUUCAAUAGGAAGGAAUACCUAUCCAUUAAUACUGGGUAGACUGACAUUACCUAUACAAGAAGCACCGGCUAACUCCGUGCCAGCAGCCGCGGUAAUACGGAGGGUGCAAGCGUUAAUCGGAAUUAGUGGGCGUAACUCGUUAAGUGGCGGCUCAAAGCCCCGGGCUUAACCUGGGAAUGGCAUUUGAUACUGGCGAGCUAGAGUUGAGUAGAGGGGAGUGGAAUUUCAGGUGUAGCGGUGAAAUGCGUAGAGAUCUGAAGGAACACCAGUGGCGAAGGCGACUCCCUGGACUCAAACUGACGCUGAGGUACGAAAGCGUGGGUAGCAAACAGGAUUAGAUACCUGUGUAGUC